rnacentral:rRNA from 1 species
GAUCCUGGCUCAGGAUGAACGCUAGCGGCAGGCUUAACACAUGCAAGUCGAGGGGCAGCGCGAGUAGCAAUACUUGGCGGCGACCGGCGCAAGGGUGCGUAACGCGUGAGCAACAUGCCCGUAUCAGGGGGAUAAUCCAGGGAAACUUGGUCUAAUACCCCAUAGUAAUUUUUGUAAGGCAUCUUAUAAGAUUUAAAGCUUUGGUGGAUACGGAUUGGCUCGCGUGACAUUAGCUGGAUGGUAAGGUAACGGCUUACCAUGGCUAUGAUGUCUAGGGGUUCUGAGAGGAAGGUCCCCCACACUGGAACUGAGACACGGUCCAGACUCCUACGGGAGGCAGCAGUGAGGAAUAUUGGACAAUGGAUGGAAAUCUGAUCCAGCCAUGCCGCGUGAAAAGGAAGAAGGUCCUAUGGAUUGUAAACUUCUUUUGUAUGGGAGCAAUAAGGCCUACGAGUAGGUUGAUGAGAGUACCAUACGAAUAAGCACCGGCUAACUCCGUGCCAGCAGCGGC